rnacentral:rRNA from 1 species
AAGGCAUGCAAGUCGAGAGGGUUUAGGCCCUCGGCAGACGGGUUAGUAACGCGUAGGAACAUACCCUUAAGUCGUGAAUAAUUCGAAGAAAUUCGGAAUAAUACACGAUGUGCUCUACGGAGUAAAGAUUUAUUGCUUAAGGAGUGGCCUGCGUCCUAUCAGCUAGUUGGUGAGGUAAUGGCUUACCAAGGCUAUGACGGGUAGGGGGCGUGAGAGCGUGAUCCCCAACAUUGGAACUAAGACACUGUCCAAACUCCUACGGGAGGCUGCAGUCGAGAAUAUUCCACAAUGGGCGAAAGCCUGAUGGAGCGACGCCGCGUGCAGGAUGACAGCCCUAGGGUUGUAAACUGCUUUUAUCAAGGAAGAAUUGUGCUUCACUUUCGUUCGGCAUAAAUUUGAAAUUUGAAAAUUUUAAUGACGAGCGGUAGCGAGGUACGAUGACGGUACUUGAAGAAUAAGGGGUUACUAACUCUGUGCCAGCAGUAGCGGUAAUACAGAGACCUCAAGCGUUAUCCGGAUUUAUUGGGCGUAAAGCGCAUGUAGGCGGAUAUAUUAGUCAGAUGUCAAAUCUCCGAGCUCAACUCGGAAAAGGCAUCUGAAACGGUAUAUCUAGAGAAAGUGAGAGAUCAAUGGAAUUCAUGGUGUAGCAGUGAAAUGCGUUGAUAUCAUGAGGAACACCAAAGGCGAAGGCAUUUGAUUGGCACUUUUCUGACGCUGAGAUGCGAAAGCGUGGGUAGCGAAGGGGAUUAGAUACCCCC